UACGGGGGGGGGCAAGCGUUGUUCGGAAUUAUUGGGCGUAAAGGGCUCGUAGGUGGCCAACUAAGUCAGACGUGAAAUCCCUCGGCUUAACCGGGGAACUGCGUCUGAUACUGGAUGGCUUGAGUUUGGGAGAGGGAUGCGGAAUUCCAGGUGUAGCGGUGAAAUGCGUAGAUAUCAGGAGGAACACCAAUUGCGAAGGCAGCUCGCUGGGACGUGACUGACGCUGAGACGCGAAAGCGUGGGGAGCAAACAGG
rnacentral:rRNA from 1 species